rnacentral:rRNA from 1 species
UACGUAGGGUGCAAGCGUUGUCCGGAAUUAUUGGGCGUAAAGAGCUCGUAGGCGGUUCGUCGCGUCGGCUGUGAAAACCUGAGGCUCAACCUCAGGCCUGCAGUCGAUACGGGCGGACUUGAGUACUGCAGGGGAGACUGGAAGUUCCUGGUGUAGCGGUGAAAUGCGCAGAUAUCAGGAGGAACACCGGUGGCGAAGGCGGGAUCUCUGGGCAGUGAACUGACGC